CGGAGUGUAGUAUACCGGUAGUACGCGUGCUUUGGGAGCAUGUAGACAGGGUUCGAUUCCCUGCACUCCGACUA
rnacentral:tRNA from 1 species